AGUCGAGCGGCAGCGCGGGGGCAACCCUGGCGGCGAGCGGCGAACGGGUGAGUAAUAGAUAGGAACGUGUCCGGGAGUGGGGGAUAACUAGCCGAAAGGUUAGCUAAUACCGCAUAUUCUCUACGGAGGAAAGCGGGGGACCUGCAAGGGCCUCGCGCUCGCGGAGUGGCCUAUCUCCGAUUAGCUAGUUGGUGAGGUAAAGGCUUACCAAGGCGACGAUCGGUAGCUGGUCUGAGAGGAUGAUCAGCCACACUGGGACUGAGACACGGCCCAGACUCCUACGGGAGGCAGCAGUGGGGAAUUUUGGACAAUGGGGGCAACCCUGAUCCAGCCAUGCCGCGUGCGGGAAGAAGGCCUUCGGGUUGUAAACCGCUUUUAUUCGGAAAGAAGGAGUUCAGGCUAAUACCCUGGAUGACAGACGGUACCGGAUGAAUAAGCACCGGCUAACUACGUGCCAGCAGCCGCGGUAAUACGUAGGGUGCGAGCGUUAAUCGGAAUUACUGGGCGUAAAGCGUGCGUAGGCGGUUGGCAAAGUCAGCUGUGAAAGCCCCGGGCUUAACCUGGGAAUGGCGGGUUGAAACUAGUCGACUUGAAUCUGGCAGAGGGGGGUGGAAUUCCACGUGUAGCAGUGAAUGCGUAGAGAUGUGGAGGAACACCGAUGGCGAAGGCGGCCCCCCUGGGCUGAGAUUGACCCUAGGGCACGAAAGGCGUGGGGGAACCAAAAAGGA
rnacentral:rRNA from 1 species